UACGUAGGGUGCGAGCGUUGUCCGGAAUUAUUGGGCGUAAAGAGCUCGUAGGCGGCUUGUCGCGUCGGCUGUGAAAGCCCGGGGCUUAACUCCGGGUCUGCAUUCGAUACGGGCAGGCUAGAGUUCGGGAGGGGAGAUCGGAAUUCCUGGUGUAGCGGUGAAAUGCGCAGAUAUCAGGAGGAACACCGGUGGCGAAGGCGGAUCUCUGGGCCGAUACUGACGCUGAGGAGCGAAAGCGUGGGGAGCGAACAGG
rnacentral:rRNA from 1 species